GCCUACCACCCUGGCUGGGCCACGAGCACAGCGCCUGGUUCCACAUGCCUCAGGGAUGAGCCGCAGAGAGUGUGACCAGGCCCAGCUGACACAUCUCAGAGCAGAUGUGGGUCUGCCUCCCACAGGCCCAGCCGGCCCCCCGACACCAGCCAAGUCUCAGCCCGUCAUCGUCCCCCGGGGGUGGUGCUGGGCCUUGUGGGGCAGAAGGAAAGAGACAGCGUUCCUUCCAGGCAUUUUAAGCAGAAAGGAUCCAACACAGGGAACUGAACACUCACAACAUUGCUAGAAGGGCUGGAGAGGCACCAGCACCACACAGCAGAACUGGACCUUCAGGAGAGCUGCCAGCCACUCAGGAUGGUGGGGAAUCAGAAGGCCACAGAGGAGCCGUAGACUUUGAGAACGUAUCGCAGCACCAUCCAGCCAUCUAGAGAUGAGGAAGCCACCACCACCACCCCUACCUCUAGACUCCCCAAGAGUGGUAACCGGACGCCAAGGUUGCUGCAAGAAAAUCCAUCCCAUGACCAUGCUCACCAGCAGAAAGAGAGCCCAGGAAAAACAAGGUGGCCCCCACUUCCUGACUCUCACAGGAAGGCAUCUGCCUGGCGGGACCUGCAGAGCGUUCAGAGCCCCUGCUGCAAAGGAGGCUGGGGAAUGUGGCGUGUAGCCUUCCAGUCUCUGCAGCCUCUUGCUAGAAAGAGAUAUUAAUAGGAAUGGAUGCUGAGGAUCAGAUGACCCUGAACAUGAGGUCUUAGGAUUCCCUAUCUCAGCCCCAACACCCUGUGCGAAUGGAAACCUCUGCUUACUUGUCUGUGUUCCCUGAUGGACUGUGGACACUUCAAAAGGCCAGGAUGAUGCCUUGGAUAUCUUGGGCUCAGCAGCAUCUUGCAUAGGCCCAAUGCAAGACAACAGUAGUCACGUAAGAAGAAAAAGAAGAACUGACAUUUAUUGAGCAUUUACUAUGCACUGAGCACUGGGCUACAUGUUUUACAUACCUGUUGACAUAUUCACAACCCAAUAGGGUAGGCAUUAUGCUGUCCCUAUUUAUACAUGAAGAAGAGAAGGUCCAUAGAGGUGAAGUAAGUUUCCCAAGGUCACCCAGCCAGUACAUAUCAGAGAUGAGAUUAAAAAUGCAAUCUGUCUGACUUCAAGCUCCAAACACUUGCCACUUAUGAGAGGCAACUUUAUCUUCUCCCAGGCAAUGUUUUGCAAUGAAUGAAUGAAUACACAAGUGUCUUCUCCUUUAGGAAACUACCUGUCCCCAUCUCAGCUGCCUUCCCUCCACUGGGCCUGGGUUCCUCUCCAAGAUCAGGGCUCAGAGAGUAAAAAUAAUACAUAAGACUGCACUGGGACUCCUCACCUAGGGUCUGUAGGUGGCUCUUAGGCUCCAUGACCACCACUCCCAUAAAGUUGAUAACAUUUUGUGUCUAUAUGCAAUUUUCUGGAGAUACGACUCAAAGUUUUCACUAAGCUUUCAAACUUCAAAAACUUGAUACUGCUGCAUCAGGAAGGAACACAGGAAUUUUCCUGCCUCCUGACCUCAGUUCCGAUCUAUGACAUAGCAUGCAUUCACCUGUAUAUCCAUCCAACUCUCG
rnacentral:lncRNA from 1 species